UACGGGGGGGGCAAGCGUUGUUCGGAAUUAUUGGGCGUAAAGAGCUCGUAGGCGGUUCGGUAAGUCAGCUGUGAAAUCUCCACGCUCAACGUGGAGGGGUCAGCUGAUACCGCCGUGACUUGAGUCUGGUAGGGGAGUGCGGAAUUCCCGGUGUAGCGGUGAAAUGCGCAGAUAUCGGGAGGAACACCAGUGGCGAAGGCGGCACUCUGGGCCAGUACUGACGCUGAGGAGCGAAAGCGUGGGGAGCGAACAGG
rnacentral:rRNA from 1 species